UUUUAGCAACAAAUCAACCUGCCUCUAGCAAUUUACCCUGAAAAUUAGUUGUCAACACUGGUUGGGGGAUACCUAGUCAUUUUUUUGCGUCAUCAUGACUCUCAAAAACCGAGACAGCUGCUGUUUACUUCUGAAGAUAACUUUAGCGUCGCCCUAAAAAUCCGAUUCAAAUUCGACAAAAACCUUCAAAUAGCUGACCACAGCGGAAUAGAUGACGUGAUGCUGGUCUCCCUGUACCCUCGAUCUUUCCCUCCAGUUCUGCCGACCCAGAGAUGCCAACUGAACCUCAGAGAAGGGCCCCGAGACACAAACAUUCAUUUCAGCAAUGCUUUCAGUUUACACAAAAAGGCCCGGCAUUCCAGCCAAAAGCACCAUGAAGCAUAGUCCAACGACAGCCAUCAUCACCACAACUGAAAGACAAAAACACAGUUCAACAUGUGAAAAUGUCACCUGUAUUAAAGAUAGCAGGACAAAAGAUUUGAACUACAUUUCAUUCAGUCUAAUUUGUGUCUAAUGUCCGUGGACAACGUACCAUUUGUAGGUCCUUAUCUCUCUCAACAACAUCUGAAAAUAGGUGAAGAAUAUAGGUCAUGGAAUUUACUUUCACAGCACAAAGUUAAAACUCUAGAUUUUGGUGUUAUUUUCAUACUUGUAAAAAUAAUUGCAUAAUGUUGCUGUGUGUUACCUGUUUUCAUAACAGCAGUGAAACUCUGGAUUUUGAGGUGAUCUGAGUUUGCAAA